rnacentral:rRNA from 1 species
GUUGGCUUGGAAGCAGCCAUUCAUUUAAAGAGUGCGUAACAGCUCACUAGUCGAGCGGUCCUGCAUGGAUAAUACGCGGGCAUAAGCAUACAACCGAAGCUAUGGAAUGUAUGAAAAUACAUUGGUAGGAGAGCAUUCCAUUAAGCGUCGAAGCGAUACUGUGAGGUAUCGUGGAGCGAAUGGAAAAGCAAAUGUAGGCAUAAGUAACGAUAAUGCGGGUGAGAACCCCGCACGCCGAAAGAUCAAGGAUUCCCCGGCAAUGUCAAUCAUCCGGGGGUAAGUCGGCCCCUAAGGUCCAGCCGAGCGGCGACGCCGAUGGGAAACAGGUUAAUAUUCCUGUACUGAUCACAACUGCGAUGCAGCGACGCAGCGAUGACACUGCUGCCACCUGACGGAAUAGGUGGUUGAAGCCCGUACCCAAUGAUUCCGGUAGUAAAGUACGCCGGGAGAGGUGAAAGGUGAAAGUACCGCAAGGCUCCGGCCGCGCGGAUAAUGCAGGUAAUUUAACUGCCAAGAAAACCUGCUAAGCUUCAGGUUCUGAUCAACCGUACUGUAAACGGACACACGUGAUCGGGUAGAAAAUACUAAGGCGCUCGAGAGAUUCAUGGUUAAGGAACUAGGCAAAAUGGUCCUGUAACUUCGGGAAAAAGGACGCUCACAUUGAUGUGAGCCGCAGAAAAUCGGCCCAGGCGACUGUUUACCAAAAACACAUGGCUAUGCAAAAUCGUAAGAUGACGUAUAUGGCCUGACACCUGCCCGGUGCCGGAAGGUUAAGAGGAGAGCUCAGACGUAUAGUCGAAGGUUUGAAUUGAAGCCCCGGUAAACGGCGGCCGUAACUAUAACGGUCCUAAGGUAGCGAAAUUCCUUGUCGGGUAAGUUCCGACCUGCACGAAUGGUGUAACGAUCUGGGUACUGUCUCAACCAUGAGCUCGGUGAAAUUGUAGUUCCGGUGAAGAUGCCGGAUACCCGCAACGGGACGGAAAGACCCCGUGAACCUUUACUGCAGCUUUGCAUUGAAAUUGGGUAACCGAUGUGUAGGAUAGGUCGGAGGCACCGAAGUAGCAUCGUCAGGUGUUAUGGAGCCGUCGUUGAAAUACGACCCUUCUGUUAUCUGAGUUCUAAUCCCGUUAGGGAGACAUUGCAUGGUGGGUAGUUUGACUGGGGUGGUCGCCUCCAAAAGUGUAACGGAGGCUUCUCAAGGUACCCUCAGGACGUUUGGUAAUCGUCUGCAGAGUGCAAUGGCAUAAGGGUGCUUGACUGUGAGACUCACAAGUCGAUCAGGUUGGAAACAAGAGCAUAGUGAUCCGGUGGUUCCGCAUGGAAGGGCCAUCGCUCAAAGGAUAAAAGGUACUCCGGGGAUAACAGGCUGAUCGCUCC